AUUGAACGCUGGCGGCAGGCCUAACACAUGCAAGUCGAACGAGUGGCGGACGGGUGAGUAAUGUCUGGGAAACUGCCUGAUGGAGGGGGAUAACUACUGGAAACGGUAACUAAUACCGCAUAACAUCAGGUGUGCACAGAUGGGAUUAGCUUGUUGGUUGGGUAACGGCUCACCAAGGAGACGAUCACUAGCUGGUCUGCGAGGAUGACCAGCAACACUGGAACUGAGACACGUGCCAGACUCCUACGGGAGGCAUCAGUGGGGAAUAUGGCACAAUGGGCGAAAGCCUGAGGCAGCCAUGCCGCGUGUAUGAAGAAGGCCUUCGGGUUGUAAAGUACUUUCAGCGGGGAGGCGUUACCCGCAGAAGAAGCACCGGCUAACUCCGUGCCAGCAGGCGCGGUAAUUC
rnacentral:rRNA from 1 species